rnacentral:tRNA from 1 species
UUUAAUGUGGCAGAAACAAAUGCAAUGAGCUUAAAAUUCAUCUAUAAAUAAACUUAUUUCAUUAAAA